rnacentral:rRNA from 1 species
GAUGAACGCUGGCGGCGUGCUUAACACAUGCAAGUCGAACGGUGAAGCAGAGCUUGCUCUGUGGAUCAGUGGCGAACGGGUGAGUAACACGUGAGCAACCUGCCCUGGACUCUGGGAUAAGCGCUGGAAACGGCGUCUAAUACUGGAUACGAGACGUGGCCGCAUGGUCAACGUUUGGAAAGAUUUUUUGGUUCAGGAUGGGCUCGCGGCCUAUCAGCUUGUUGGUGAGGUAAUGGCUCACCAAGGCGUCGACGGGUAGCCGGCCUGAGAGGGUGACCGGCAACACUGGGACUGAGACACGGCCCAGACUCCUACGGGAGGCAGCAGUGGGGAAUAUUGCACAAUGGGCGAAAGCCUGAUGCAGCAACGCCGCGUGAGGGAUGACGGCCUUCGGGUUGUAAACCUCUUUUAGCAAGGAAGAAGCGAAAGUGACGGUACUUGCAGAAAAAGCGCCGGCUAACUACGUGCCAGCCGCCGCCGUAAAAC